rnacentral:rRNA from 1 species
GAUGAACGCUGGCGGCGUGCCUAACACAUGCAAGUCGAACGGAGUGUUACUUCUUCGGAGGGAACACUUAGUGGCGGACGGGUGAGUAACGCGUGGGUAACCUGCCUCAUACAGGGGGAUAGCAGUUGGAAACGACUGAUAAUACCGCAUAAGCGCACAGUACCGCAUGGUACAGUGUGAAAAACUCCGGUGGUAUGAGAUGGACCCGCGUCUGAUUAGCUUGUUGGCGGGGUAACGGCCCACCAAGGCGACGAUCAGUAGCCGGCCUGAGAGGGUGAACGGCCACAUUGGGACUGAGACACGGCCCAAACUCC